rnacentral:rRNA from 1 species
UACGGAGGGGGCUAGCGUUGUUCGGAAGUACUGGGCGUAAAGCGCACGUAGGCUGCUUUGCAAGUCAGAGGUGAAAGCCCGGGGCUCAACCCCGGAAUUGCCUUUGAGACUGCAUCGCUAGAAUUGUGGAGAGGUAAGUGGAAUUCCGAGUGUAGAGGUGAAAUUCGUAGAUAUUCGGAAGAACACCAGUGGCGAAGGCGACUUACUGGACACAUAUUGACGCUGAGGUGCGAAAGCGUGGGGAGCAAACAGG